rnacentral:rRNA from 1 species
UACGUAGGGUGCAAGCGUUGUCCGGAAUUAUUGGGCGUAAAGAGCUUGUAGGCGGUUUGUCGCGUCUGCUGUGAAAUUUCGGGGCUCAACCCCGAACUUGCAGUGGGUACGGGCAGACUAGAGUGUGGUAGGGGAGACUGGAAUUCCUGGUGUAGCGGUGAAAUGCGCAGAUAUCAGGAGGAACACCGAUGGCGAAGGCAGGUCUCUGGGCCACUACUGACGC